GCGGGUGUAGCUCAGUGGCUAGAGCGUCUGGUUGCCAUCCAGAAGGCCGGGGGUUCGACUCCCCUCACCCGCU
rnacentral:tRNA from 1 species